rnacentral:rRNA from 1 species
GCAUAUCACUAAGGGGAGGAAAAGAAACCAAAAGGGAUUCCCCGAGUAAGGGCGACUGAAAAGGGAUUAGCCCAGCGCGUAGGCUGCAGUCCACCCCUCCUCGUAGGGGGUACUGGGCUGUGAGCGGUGCCGCGUAUGGGAGCGAUCGAGGGUGUUGCUGGAUCCGGCCCGAAGUGUGUAUUGAAUGUUAUCCCGCUGACCAUAGAGGGUGGUAGUCCCGUAGGGCCGCGAUUAUCCGGUCAGCCCGCCGGUCGCUCUCGAGAGUCGGGUUGCUUGAAAAUGCAGCCCUAAGACAGGUGGUGAACUCCAUCUAAGGCUAAAUAUCCCCACGAGACCGAUAGAGAACAAGUACCGCGAGGGAAAGUUGAAAAGCACUCUGAAAAGAGAGUCAAAGAGAGCGUGAAACUACCACGAGGAUAAAGCGAGUGAGGGUUCGUGCCCGAAAUGGUUAGAUACAACUGAUCCUCCAACGGGCGGCGGGGGGUCGCGAGUCGCCUCUAAACGGAUCUAUCCGGUUUUAACCUCUUCGAGGCUUCCGGGUAGACCGGCGGCUUCCUUACGUCGACGCCGGUAAAGGUGUUGUUCCUCUAGCCGAAGUAGGGCGUCGCGGCCGUUCGAGAGGUGUCGAAGACCCGGGGGUCUGGGAAACCGUAUCUUCGCGUCGCCCACGCGAAGGGGAGUAGGAAGGCGUUUUCGUCCGACUGCUUUCUGUGGGCAGGCGUCGGAGUACGGGGCCGCCUCGGUGCUCUGACGGUCUCACGGACGGUGAAAUAACGUUAAAAGCGUGCCUGUGACUGGGGAGUCGUCCUCUCGCUCUCCAUGGAGGUGGAGGCGAAGUCGUACCCCGCUUAAACCAGUCCCGUGCGCGCCACGCGGCGGAUGUUCGCAAAGCGACUCCUUACUCGUCCCGUCUUGAAACACGGACCAAGAAGUCUUGAAUGUGCGCGAGUCAAAGGGCUGGCUAAACCCCAAGGCGGAACGAAAGUGAUUUUCUCUUUCAUAGGGCUGAUCCGGUUCGGGAUGCGCGAGCGGGAGUUCCGCCGUUAUUCCAAUGCCUCUCGGGGUUGCGGGUGGCGACGGCGCUCCUUCAACUCUCCCCCCGAUUUGCCACCCUAAUAUGUGGACGGCGCAAGCCCGGGGCUCGCAUUUGCUCCUCUCCGCGCGAUUAACUUUAGGGCGCCGUCGUUGUGGUCGUCGUCGUCGUUCGUCUCUCACCAUUCGGAGGAAUAAUAUUCCUCCUUCUGGUGAAAAGGCGGCGCGGCGUCGGUCUCGCGGCGGUCGUUCGCGAAAUAAGUCGCGGGGACGGGCAGCGGGUACCUUGAGCGCACCUUCUAGGACCCGAAAGAUGGUGAUCUAUGCGUGGCGAGGAUGAAGCCAGGGGAAACUCUGGUGGAAGUCCGUAGCGAUUCUGACGUGCAAAUCGAUCGUCGGAGCUGCGUAUAGGGGCGAAAGACCUAUCGAACCAUCUAGUAGCUGGUUCCCCCCGAAGUUUCCCUCAGGAUAGCUGGUGCUCGUCACAAGGAGUUUCAUCCGGUAAAGAGAAUGAUUAGGGGUCCUUGGGGAUGAAAUUUCCUCAGCCCAUUCUCAAACUCUAAAUGGGUGAGAUAGCGGGUUUUCUUCACCGAAGCCUCGCUUUGUUCCCGAAUCCGAGUGCCUAGUGGGCCAUUUUUGGUAAGCAGAACUGGCGCUGUGGGAUGAACCAAACGUCGAGUUAAGGGGCCUAAGUAUCGGCUGAUUCAGAAACCUUGAAAGGAGUUGGUCGCUCAAGACAGUAGGUCGGUGGCCAUGGAAGUCGGCAUCCGCUAAGGAGUGUGUAACAACUCACCUGCCGAAGCGACUAGCCCUGAAAAUGGAUGGCGCUUAAGCCGGUCCCCGAUACUCGGCCGUCGAGGUAAUAAUGGCCCUGUCUCCCUCCCCGGGGUUGGUGGUUCAUUCCCCAACGCGGGUGAAAAGAGCGUUCCCGGAGAUGUAGGGUUCGUAUUGGGUCUCGAAGCCUCGACGAGUAGGGGGGCGCGGGGGUGAGCGUAGAAGUUCAGGGCGUGAGCCCGAAUGGAGCCGCCUCCGGUGCAGAUCUUGGUAGUAGUAGCAAGCACUCUUUUGGUACCGAGGAGGACUUAAUGGAGAAGGGUUCCUCGUCAACUGCGUUUGUACGAGGGUUAGUCGGUCCUAAGCCCGCGGCUAACGCCUCUCCGAGGGCGUGGUAUGGUCGGGCGAAAUGAUGUCGUCGUUGAAGGAGUUGUUUUUAAUUUUAUUAUUACACGCCUUCGCCUCUUCCGAACUCUUCCUCAUCCUUCUUUUUUUUUUUUAAUUUUUUCACCAAUAACGAAAAAAAAAGAAGAGGGGAGUAAGGUAGGUAGGAGGUAAAUAUUAUUAUUCUUCUUCUUCUUCUCGGCUCACUAGCUCGCACCGCACAUCGGGCGAAAGGGAAUCCGGUUAAUAUUCCGGAACCAGACGCGGGGAAGCACUUCUUGAGCUCUCGAACGCGCUCGAUACUCCUGGUAACGGGAGGUAUUGCCUAAGCCACUGGCGGCGGUCCGGGGAGGAGCUCGCUCUUUUCUUCAUAAGGCGCCGCGGGCCCUGGAAUCAGUUCGAUAGGAGAAAGGGCUUAGACAUACGCGGUAGUCCGCCGAAGAGCGUCGCACUUGUCGCGGCGUCCCGCGCGCCGUCGCCGGUCCUUGAAACUUUGGUGGAGGGCGUGCUCAUUACAAUGGGC